rnacentral:rRNA from 1 species
CUAUCUGCNAGUCGAGCGAGUGAACUACUGAACCCUUCGGGGUGNUGUUAGUGGAUCUAGCGGCGGACGGGUGAGUAACACGUGGGCAACCUGCCUGUAAGACUGGGAUAACUCGCGGAAACGCGAGCUAAUACCGGAUAACACUUUGAACCACAUGGUUCGAAGAUGAAAGGCGGCGCAAGCCGUCACUUACAGAUGGGCCCGCGGCGCAUUAGCUAGUUGGUGAGGUAACGGCUCACCAAGGCGACGAUGCGUAGCCGACCUGAGAGGGUGAUCGGCCACACUGGGACUGAGACACGGCCCAGACUCCUACGGGAGGCAGCAGUAGGGAAUCUUCCGCAAUGGACGAAAGUCUGACGGAGCAACGCCGCGUGAGUGAUGAAGGUUUUCGGAUUGUAAAACUCUGUUGUUAGGGAAGAACAAGUCGGGUAGUAACUGACCCGACCUUGACGGUACCUAACCAGAAAACCCCGGCUAACUACGUGCCAGCAGCCGCGGUAAUACGUAGGGGGCAAGCGUUGUCCGGAAUUUUGGGCGUAAGCGCGCGCAGGCGGUCCUUUAGUCUGAUGUGAAAGCCCACGGCUUAACCGUGGAGGGUCAUUGGAAACUGGAGGACUUGAGUACAGAAGAGGAGAGUGGAAUUCCACGUGUAGCGGUGAAAUGCGUAGAGAUGUGGAGGAACACCAGUGGCGAAGGCGACUCUCUGGUCUGUAACUGACGCUGAGGCGCGAAAGCGUGGGGAGCGAACAGGAUUAGAUACCCUGGUAGUCCACGCCGUAAACGAUGAGUGCUAGGUGUUAGGGGGUUUCCGCCCCUUAGUGCUGAAGUUAACGCAUUAAGCACUCCGCCUGGGGAGUACGGCCGCAAGGCUGAAACUCAAAAGAAUUGACGGGGGCCCGCACAAGCGGUGGAGCAUGUGGUUUAAUUCGAAGCAACGCGAAGAACCUUACCAGGUCUUGACAUCCUCUGACAACCCUAGAGAUAGGGCUUUCCCUUCGGGGACAGAGUGACAGGUGGUGCAUGGUUGUCGUCAGCUCGUGUCGUGAGAUGUUGGGUUAAGUCCCGCAACGAGCGCACCCUUGUCCUUAGUUGCCAGCAUUUAGUUGGGCACUCUAAGGAAACUGCCGGUGACAAACCGAAGAAAGUGGGGGAUGACGUCAAAUCAUCAUGCCCCUUAUGACNUGGGCUACCCCGUGCUACAAUGGAUGGUACAAAGGGCAGCGAAACCCCAGGGUGAACAACUCCCUAAACCAUUCUCAGUUCGAUGGAGGCUGCACUCGCCUACUGAAGCCGAAUC